UGGGAUAAUUGUAGCCAUUGUACCCUGUUCAAAUAAUGACAGACUGUUACGGGUUAAUAAUAUUUUAUUACUAAAAAACGAACUGGGAGGAUGAA